CCGGCUAACUACGUGCCAGCAGCCGCGGUAAUACGUAGGGCGCAAGCGUUAUCCGGAAUUAUUGGGCGUAAAGAGCUCGUAGGCGGUUUGUCGCGUCUGCUGUGAAACCCCGAGGCUCAACCUCGGGCCUGCAGUGGGUACGGGCAGACUAGAGUGCGGUAGAGGAGAUUGGAAUUCCUGGUGUAGCGGUGGAAUGCGCAGAUAUCAGGAGGAACACCGAUGGCGAAGGCAAUCCCCUGGGCCUGCACUGACGCUCAUGCACGAAAGCGUGGGGAGCAAACAGGAUUAGAUACCCUGGUAGUCCACGCCGUAAACGAUGUCUACUAGCCGUUGGGGUCCUUGAGACUUUAGUGGCGCAGUUAACGCGAUAAGUAGACCGCCUGGGGAGUACGGCCGCAAGGUUAAAACUCAAAUGAAUUGACGGGGGCCCGCACAAGCGGUGGAGCAUGUGGUUUAAUUCGAUGCAACGCGAAGAACCUUACCAAGGCUUGACAUGUUCUCGAUCGCCGUAGAGAUACGGUUUCCCCUUUGGGGCGGGUUCACAGGUGGUGCAUGGUUGUCGUCAGCUCGUGUCGUGAGAUGUUGGGUUAAGUCCCGCAACGAGCGCAACCCUCGUUCCAUGUUGCCAGCACGUAAUGGUGGGGACUCAUGGGAGACUGCCGGGGUCAACUCGGAGGAAGGUGAGGACGACGUCAAAUCAUCAUGCCCCUUAUGUCUUGGGCUUCACGCAUGCUACAAUGGCCGGUACAAUGGGCUGCAAUACCGCAAGGUGGAGCGAAUCCCAAAAAGCCGGUCCCAGUUCGGAUUGAGGUCUGCAACUCGACCUCAUGAAGUCGGAGUCGCUAGUAAUCGCAGAUCAGCAACGCUGCGGUGAAUACGUUCCCGGGUCUUGUACACACCGCCCGUCAAGUCAUGAAAGUCGGUAACACCUGAAGCCGGUGGCCCAACCCUUGUGGAGGGAGCCGUCGAAGGUGGGAUCGGUAAUUAGGACUAAGUCGAAACAAGGUAGCCGUACCGGAAGGUGCGGCUGGAUCACCUCCUU
rnacentral:rRNA from 1 species